AAAGAAGUAAAAUAUACAUUUAGUUUCGACCUAAAAAUAAGAAAUAAUUCUCAUGUUUU
rnacentral:tRNA from 1 species